AGCUUUGCGCAGUGAGGGUAUGGUAGCCAAUGAGGUUAAUCCGAGGUGUGAUUUUUGCUAACUGAAAACUUUUAUUUUACCAAAUGCCCUGUCAUUUAUCUCUGGGGUGACUCACCGCAGUGUCCUGGAUGUUUAUCUCUAAUUCCUGGAGACUCCAGGGUGAUCCUGGAG
rnacentral:snRNA from 1 species